rnacentral:tRNA from 1 species
GGGCGUGUAGCUCAGUGGAAGAGCGCUACCCUCACAAGGUAGAGGUCGGAGGUUCGAUUCCUCCCACGCCCA